AUCAAUCCAAGAUGCACAUGAACAACAUAGUAAACACCCAUUGGGUAGCACCCGGAUUUACUGUUGUAGCAGCUAAACACACCCAAUCUUGCAUGAUUUGUGCUAGAAACAAUCCAGGAUAGGCUGUCAAAACACCAAGUAAGUACACCAAGGCCACUUUACCCGUUUCAAAGACUGCAGAUAGGCUAUAUUCAACUGCCUAAGGUAGGAGUGUAUGAAUAUGUAUUGGUGUGCAUUGAUCUCUUUUCAGGUUGGCCUGAGGCCUACCCAGUGUCGAAAGCCACAACGAAAGUCACAGCAAGUAAGCUUCUGAAGGAACUGGUAUGUAGAUAUGGAGUACCUGAAGUGAUUGCAAGUGACAGAGGUAGCCAUUUCACUGGGGAAAUAGUGCAAGAAAUUAUGAAAGCCUUAGGGAUCAGUCAGGCCUUCCACACCCCCUAUCACUCCCAGAGUAGUGGGAAAGUAGAAAGGGCAAAUGGCACCUUAAAGAACAAGAUUGAAAAAGCCAUGCAAGACACAGUGAAACCCUGGACUGAAUGUCUUCCCCUAGCACUCUUUUCUAUGAGAUUCACCCCCAAUUCCAGACAUGGCCUAUCCCCUUUUGAGAUACUGUUUGGAUGUGCCCCAAAGACAGGCCUCUAUUUUCCCCAGACCCUCCAGAUGCAGCAUGGUAGUAUGACUGCCUAUGUACAGGCCCUACACCAAAGAUUAGGCAGGGUGCAUAAACAAGUCUUUGAUUCUAUUCCAGAUCCAGACUCUGAUUCUACAACUCACAAACUGCAGCCUGGUGAUUGGGUGGUGAUACUGAGGCAUGUGAGGAAAGGACUUGAACCACGCUUUGACGGUCCAUUCCAAGUGCUCUUGACUACGGCUACCUCAGUGAAACUAGAAGGAAAAACAAUGUGGAUACACGCCUGUCACUGUAAACAAGUCACUCCGACUGAUCCACCGACAUGAAGCUGUUCUUAUCCUUUACCAUUGUAUGCUCUGUUCAGAUAUGCUACUCUGACUUGAGACCAGAAGAUAAUAAUGCAUAGCAGGGAAAUAUAUAAUUGAUGAGUUAGCUGAGAUAGAAUCGCCAUAGAAUCUUGUCUUAUAGCUGUCCCUACCCCCAUCUCACCUUUGAGGAAGUACCUACAUACCCAUAGAUCCCAUAAAUAUCUACCCGAGUAAUUAAUGCUGUAGCCUGUCCCCUUGCAAAUGCCACUUCACAGGCCCUAGAAGAGCUAUGGACAACCAGACAAAUAAGAAGGCAAUCGUUGAGAAUAGAGCAGCCAUUGACUUUACUAAUUAAGAAAAUGUUGUACUUUUUGCUAUUAGCUAUAUUUGUUAUUAUGUCCAUUUUUCUAACCUUUAGAUUUUUCUCAUGUCUACUAACCUCUCUAUGUAAAAACAAACCUACUGUUGGUUGUACCUUAACUUACAUUCCAGCUCUGACUUUGGAAGGGUUUUAUGAUGUUACCUCGCCUAACAAAUGAAGGAACUCUCCUCUGCUGAUUCUGGUGGGCUCUCAGUCCAAGGGAACAGUGGUGAAGCAAUAAAUGAAAGUCACACAGGCUUUGGCUAGCAGGCCUGGAAUUACCUUGGACAUUUUGGUGACCCUUGGAUCAAAAGAGGGGAUUGUGAUAGAAUUUAUCUUGAUUCCAAGGCUCAAGCUUAUAGGUGUCAUAUAAUAAUAUCCUAUAUUAAAAUUGGCUAACUUGGACUCAGGAAAGGAAAUGCUUAACACAACACUUAAAACCAUAUAUGUCUAGUUCCGGGAGCAGAGAGCCCCCACCUGAAAUGUCUCUUCUCUAAUCUUUUUGUUCUUUCUUACCUUGGAACUUAUUUGUUAUGUGUACAUGACGUUCAUCCCUAUGUCUUAUCUGUACUCCCUUCCUAUUACUGUUCUAUGAGUAUUUUCAUGUAAGCACUUACUUUUUAAUGUAUAAUACCUAGCUGAUGAAUAAAAUGGCAGAG